GGCCCUUUACACCUCAGGAGCCCCUUACUCAACUGACUCCAAAUUUGGAUCACUGACACCACCUGGCACCACUAUGAGGUUUUGGUAUGGACUUGAAAUGAACACCUGUGGUAGUGAUGUCCUUAACAGAUUCCUAAAAGGCUUAUAAAAUCACAAAAAGCUGAUACCAGCUAAAAAGCAACCCAGAAUACCAUGAACCUACUGUCUCAACAAAAAUUGUGUUUUAUGUUUUAUGUUUUGUCUUGUGUUGUCUUGUUGCUAUCAUUGUUGUGUAUUGUGUUACAAAAAAAACCUACUGCAUUAGGCAAAAAAGAAUUAAUAAGCAUUUUAACUGUAUUUACAGAAACCAAUGUUGCAGAAGGGCAGAGGUCAAAGAAUGCCAGUAUGUUUAACAGGGAAAACAUCCUCAGGUAGCAGACACCAUAUUAGGAGGGACUGGUUUUGGAGCAGGGAUUAUAAAUACUGUAGCCCUGGACAUAAUUAAGAAUAAAUUAAGCUCCUUGUCACAACUGCAAGAUAGUCUCAUUCACAAACAGGAAGAUACUACUGUGAACUUGGUAAAAAUAGGUCUGGGAAACCUAAAAGCAACAUGGAAUAUGUGGUGGUGGUUAAACACCACCACCUGGCUGUUGUAUAAACAACAAACAAAAUUAGAGAAUAAAACUACCUUGGCCAUAGGAUGUACUGAAAUGUAAAUUCUUAGUUUAGCAUUACUUGAACACAAAAUAUUUUGGGUAAUACCUGGAAAUGUCAGGGUAUUAACGCAUCUUUUAAAAUAAUGGAAGAGGUCCUUGUUCGACACCUACAAAAAUGAAUGGAUGCAAUAUGUUUCCAGCAUGGUUAAGACUAAUUUGUUAUUCGGUGAAAUUAUUGUUAAAAUUGCUCACCGACAGUCUGUAGAGACAGAAAUGUGGAAAGUGAGCCCACUCCCAAAAUUGACCACGGGAUCCUUUUGGCUACCCCGGAUUAUGGGUCAGUGGGCUAGGAAAAAGAAGAAAUUAUUGAAUACCCAAGGGUGUAUGGAGCAGGAGCUGGCCACUAGAUUGAUCUGGAAUCUGAACUGGUAACUAUAACAACAACUGGUGGGACAGCGUGUGCAUGUGUGUAUGAUUAAAUGCAUAUGCUAACUGCUGUAUCUCCAAUAAAUGCGGCAUAUUGCCUUUUCCCCUGAAAAAGAUCCCGUGUGCUUCUUAUAAGCCUAACAAUGUGACUAGUUUUGUUUCUUUUUCAUGGAUAACAAAGACAUGAAAGGUCACCCCCACCCAACCUGAAAAACAUGAGUAGUCAAAAGGCAACAAAUCUGGAGUUUCUAGUCCUCACCAACGUUAAAAACAAACCCUGCAUUUCUAGACAAAGCCAGCUUAUUUUAUUUACAAACAUUACAAAAGUAAAAACCAUCAUUUU